GCGCAGCGCUGCUCCUUAGGAAGGCUGCGUCUGUUUGGCAGGGCCCGAGAGCCGCAGCUCCCCAGAGCCGGCAGGCACUUCCCUUCCAACGGGCCCAGCGAGGGUGCCCUGCGCAUGCUAAUGAGGCAGUUGAGGAAAGCUUCGCAGAUAAUUGCUGAAAGUGUGCAGUAACUUACCAGGCUGGGAGUCAGUGGGCUGCAAAAUGAUGGGGCACCGCUCCUGGGGGCCCCCAGCAGAGGGGCCUGGUCUCCAGGUACCCGGCGCUCACAGCUAUUGCGACUUGGAGCGGUGCCAGCCUCAUUUGAAUUCCAGCCUUUGUGAAUAACUCAAGUGUCGCCGCUGUUGCUCCAGCAAUUGCAGGGCGUUUGAGCUCACACCAUCCCGCCUCGUUCUAGAAGCCCAACUCGGCUGCCUCCCCUCCCCACAGCUUCCAAGCCUCCUCACGGGGCAGUGGCAGUGGGGGUUGGAGGUGGGGAGACUGGAGCUGCAGAAGGGGAGACCACUCCAGCUGAACCUUCUAGUCCCUCCACCCCCCAGCUGCAGUAGGAGUCAGGUGGGGCCCCGACUGGGUAUCUGAUUAGGCGAUUAGGCUGCCUCUGUUCUACUUAGUGAUCAUAGCUCUGUUCUCUCUGCAGAUAUUUCCCUUCUGUCUCUCUCUCUCUCUCUCUCUCUGUCUCUCUCUCUCUCUGUCUCUCUCUCUCUCUCUCUCUGUCUCUCUCUCUCAUACAUAUGUACAUCUCUCCAUUUCUUCCCUUAAUGAGGAUACAGUUAAAUCGACUGAAAAAUCAGCUGGGUUUGGCGGGGUGCAGUGGCUUACACCUGUAAUCCCAGCAUUUUGGGAGGCCAAGGUGAGUGGAUCA
rnacentral:lncRNA from 10 species